rnacentral:rRNA from 1 species
GAUGAACGCUAGCAGCAGGCUUAAUACAUGCAAGUCGAGGGGCAGCAUGACUGUAGCAAUACAGUUGAUGGCGACCGGCAAACGGGUGCGGAACACGUACAGAACCUUCCUUCGAGCGGGGAAUAGCCCAGAGAAAUUUGGAUUAAUACCCCAUAGUACAGCGGAGUGGCAUCACUUUGUUGUUAAAGAUUUAUCACUUGAAGAUGGCUGUGCGGCUGAUUAGGUAGUUGGCGGGGUAACGGCCCACCAAGCCUGCGAUCAGUAACUGGUGUGAGAGCACGACCAGUCACACGGGCACUGAGACACGGGCCCGACUCCUACGGGAGGCAGCAGUAAGGAAUAUUGGUCAAUGGACGAAAGUCUGAACCAGCCAUGCCGCGUGGAGGAUGAAGGUCCUCUGGAUUGUAAACUUCUUUUAUAUGGGACGAAAAAAGGGUUUUCUAACUCGUCUGACGGUACCAUAUGAAUAAGCACCGGCUAACUCCGUGCCAGCAGCCGCAGUAAGAC